rnacentral:rRNA from 2 species
CGGAAUGAGUACACUCUAAACCCUUUAACGAGGAUCAAUUGGAGGGCAAGUCUGGUGCCAGCAGCCGCGGUAAUUCCAGCUCCAAUAGCGUAUAUUAAAGUUGUUGCGGUUAAAAAGCUCGUAGUCGAAUUUGUGUCUCGCGCCGACGGUUCAUCGUUCGCGGUGUUAACUGGCGUGCCGCGAGACGUCCUGCCGGCGGGCUUAGCUCGCAAGAGCGGCCCAAUUCAAUCCCGCCGCGGUGCUCUUCAUUGAGUGUCGAGGUGGGCCGGCACGUUUACUUUGAACAAAUUAGAGUGCUUAAAGCAGGCUAAAAUUUCGUCUGAAUACUGUGUGCAUGGAAUAAUGAAACAGGACCUCGGUUCUAUUUUGUUGGUUUUCGGAACCCCGAGGUAAUGAUCAACAGGAACGGAUGGGGGCAUUCGUAUUGCGACGUUAGAGGUGAAAUUCUUGGAUCGUCGCAAGACGGACAGAAGCGAAAGCAUUUGCCAAAAACGUUUUCAUUGAUCAAGAACGAAAGUUAGAGGUUCGAAGGCGAUCAGAUACCGCCCUAGUUCUAACUAUAAACGAUGCCAGCUAGCGAUCCGCCGACGUUCCUCCGAUGACUCGGCGGGCAGCUUCCGGGAAACCAAAGCUUUUGGGUUCCGGGGGAAGUAUGGUUGCAAAGCUGAA